rnacentral:rRNA from 1 species
GACGUAGGGCGCGAGCGUUGUCCGGAUUUAUUGGGCGUAAAGAGCUCGUAGGCGGCUUGUCGCGUCGGAUGUGAAAGCCCGGGGCUUAACUUCGGGUCUGCAUUCGAUACGGGCAGGCUAGAGUUCGGUAGGGGAGAUCGGAAUUCCUGGUGUAGCGGUGAAAUGCGCAGAUAUCAGGAGGAACACCGGUGGCGAAGGCGGAUCUCUGGGCCGAUACUGACGCUGAGGAGCGAAAGCGUGGGGAGCGAACAGG